UGGUCAUUUAGAGGAAGUAAAAGUCGUAACAAGGUUUCCGUAGGUGAACCUGCGGAAGGAUCAUUAUCGUACAAUGGGGGUACCCGGGUUGUCGCUGACUUUUCGUCGUGCACGCCCGAGUGCUCUCACAUACAAAUAUCCAUCUCACCCCUUUGUGCAUCACCGCGUGCGUCCCCCCCUUCCUCGGAGGGCGGGUGCUCACGUUUUUAACAUCAAACACCCUAGUGUAGAAUGUUCUUUGCGCGAUCACGCGCGAAUCAAUACAACUUUCAACAACGGAUCUCUUGGCUCUCGCAUCGAUGAAGAACGCAGCGAAAUGCGAUACGUAAUGUGAAUUGCAGAAUUCAGUGAAUCAUCGAAUCUUUGAACGCACCUUGCGCCCCUUGGCAUUCCGAGGGGCACACCCGUUUGAGUGUCGUGAACAUCCUCAACCUGCUUCGUUCUAUCGAACCAAGUAGGCUUGGAAUUUGGAGGUUUUUCUGCUGGCUUCCUCUGAAGCCAGCUCCUCUUAAAUCUAUCAGUGGGAUCCGCUUUGCUAGAUCCUCGACGUUGAUAAGAUGUUUCUACGUCUUGGGUUUCGCUCGGGAAGGACCUGCUUCUAACCGUCCCCAUCGGGGACAAUGUUCGAGAGCCGAUCGCCCUUCACGGGGUGCGAAGCUUUUCGACCCAUGAAACCUGACCUC
rnacentral:rRNA from 1 species